CCUCGCUCGCACGUUACCGAGCGGGUUUAUUUCUCCCCCAGCUGCCUAAACGCGCUCUUUCCCACGGCGUGCGGCACAGCGGGCAAAGGGGCACCUUGGCUCUUCCCCAAAGGGACCAGAAUCCCUGUAGAUGCGACACAGCUGGCCCCUGCGGGGUCAUUUUCCAUUUGGGAUGCAAAGGAGAGGCGCUUGGGAUGCAGGGACUUUCUUCCAGGGAAAGCAGCAGCCUCGUAACACAGCUCCUUCUCACCAGCCCCUCUCUGCGAACGUAAGCAGGAGCUACGUGAACUCUGGUAGCUUGGAAAAAGCCGUCAGAGCUAUAAGGUUGCUGAUGGCUAAGCACCAUUAAUGAAUAAAUCAAAGGGAUUUAACUCGGUUCACCCCAAGGUCAAAGAACCCUCCAGAUGGUGACAAUUAAGGCCCUUGGAGAAGCCUCACUGCCAGGAGGGAGCUGAUGGAGAAAGAGCUUCCCCACACCGACAUGGCCAUGGCUGAGGGGAGAAGAGCUGGGGCUCCAGUGAGCAAUCAGCCGGACAACGGAGCCUCCUCCUCAGCUGUUCUGCUUCAGUCCUGCACGGCUGCUGCUUUGGGGAACCCCUGCUUAACAACUCCAAGCUUUAAUGCCGUUUUCUUCAGGGAUUUAAUCAGUUACCCAGUGUUCUUGGGCACUUCCCGCUUAUCACUCUUACUAUUUACCUUGCCUCGAGGUGAAGCUAAUAGAGGAGCUAUCAGCAGGUCCACCUGAGGUUUUGCAGAAGGUGGGCAAAGAGGCAAGUGAUGGAGGUGGAAAAACUGAGCCGUGAGAAAUGAGAGCACCUGCCCAAGGAAGCGGCCCCAGAGCCCCCAGUCCCACUACCGCAUCCCAUGGGCCGCACAGGUUCCCAAGAAGUGCUGAAGUGAUCUGGGAAUCCAAGGCACUGUUUCCAAGGUGACUUGUUACCCAAAUUCUGUCUGCUGGGGAGACUUACUAAACCUUCAGUUACGUAAGCCAUAUUUCAGACGUGGGGCAUGGGAACCAGUCACCCAGUUUAACUCGCUGGCUGCUAAUUGCCUCCGCAAUGCCGGGAGGUGCACAUCUCGGGGCCGGGUUUAGUCCUGGCACUUGCGCUUUGUAAAGUUUUAGACCCUGAUCAAGAUCUGUUCCUGGCUGCCAAAAGAUCUACUGGUGACACCUGGUGCACAGCGCAGAUUUCUGCAUCUCUACAAGACUGUUUUCAGUUCUACCCUUGACAGAAUUGAAGGAGAAAAUAGGGAACUUGGGAAGAAUCAUUUGGAUUGAUGGAUGCAGAGAGAAGAAAGUGUGUGUAUGUCGGGAUGUAUUAAUAAACUCCUAAAAACCUGGAGUCCUGCUUUACCUGAGCCAUGGUGCUGGAAUUCUCCAACCACCCGAGAGCAAAGCACGCUCUUCGAAGCCUCUGCUAUCGCAGCCGCUCAGGACAGCCUCUUCUCACAGGAGAGACACAGAGCCGGGCACACCCAUCUCACUGCUCCGAGAAGCUCAUGACCCCUCUGAAAUAAGUGUCUGAUCUCUUCUAUGGUGUGAGAGCUUUGUCUUAAAGGUAACUUGGUAACAGGGGAGGAGGCGUUCACACCUCUUAACAAAAAUAGCGUCAGAAGUCAUCCGAAGCUGCCCGCUUCUGAAAGACGAAAUACUAACUGAUGCUCACUGAGCAUUACAUUCACCAUCGGGAGAACCAAACAGAAUCUAACGAGCAUAAACAUCACGAGAAAUCAUGGUACCUUUUGAGUUAAUGGUAUUUCCACUUGUAAGCAAAGAAACUGAAGUCACAGGAUUCUGCGAUGUGCCCAAGAUGACGAAAGAAGUCAGUCUCCGAGCUGGAAAGGAAGGGAUCCUAGUUCCCAGCUCAAGGCCAUAAGCUGUUUCCUUGAUGAAGAUACAGCAGUGUGCCUUGAUCUCUAGCGAUGGAGAAUGUUGCCCUAACCAGGUAAUUUUGUAUAACCUGUAUUGCUGCUGUAAUACCGGUUAUGGGCACCAAUAGGUUAAGGUUAGCCUGAGCUUCAAAGUCUGCAUUACCUUCCUGCACUGUACAAGGAGCUCAUUGCUUUAUCACAGCUCCUCUCCCAAAGGCAACUUCUGUCCCUUCCCCCUUACAAGCUGUCACUCACUCACCACUACUUUGAGGGUAAUGAGCAAAAGCAUUGGCUUUCCCCGAGCAGACCGGGGCCUUCCCCACUAGCCAGCACACAAGACCAGGCCGGUGUUUAGGUGCAUUCAAAUACUGGUACUAAACCCCACCAAUUCUUUACAGGAGGGACAAUCUGUGUGUGACUUCACCUCGGGACUCAAGGCUGCCAUGUCCAUCCCUCGGCCACCGUAUGGACCGUGACUUGUUUCACAACUCUCACGCAACAGCUCCGUGGGGGUGAGGGAAGCUCCUCUCAAAAAAGUGAGUUACAAAGCAAUCUGUUCACAGCAGGGUCUCAGAGAGUCGGUCCCAAUCCUGCUUCGCAUCAAGCGCCACGCAACGUGACAUGCCCACAGGUCUAUUAACGGGACCAUCCAUCAUCCAGGAGUCGGUCACGCCUGACAACGUGGUGCUCAGCAGACGCCUUUCAAAGGCAAGGCACGGUGCAGCACCAGGGCUUUGGUCUGCAGAUCCACAGCCACGCUUAGCCCCGCAGACCUCACCUGUUGCCAGCACUGAUGCAACUCCAAGAUUUGCCAGCUGCUGGGUCGGUUCCUCUCAUCUACAUCUCAUUGGCACAGAUCAGGUCACCCACCUAUAUUAAAUUAUUCCCUCAAUUUCUUUUGGAUCUACACAUUAGCUGGCUUCUGCCUACCCACUAAAACAAGGAGCUUGUUUUGGCAAGAAACCUGAGUAGGAUAAAAAAGUAAAUACAAAAUAACCCAGGAUGCUACGUUAAAUAUAUUCUAUAUUUCUGACUCAUACUUUUUGUUUUUAAAAAACAUGAGCAAGGAAAAAAAAAAAAGUAUUUUUUUGACACAGAGAUUGAUAUUGUGUUUUGUAGUAUUACUCAUAACCAGGAAAUUCUCCAAUUCGGUUGGAUUUUAAAAAAAAACCCAAAAACCAGAAAACUGAACAAAAAAACCCCACAAAAACUUUGGUAAAUAUCAGAAUAUUUAAAUACUCAAUAACAAAAGCCUCACUGUUGAGGCACAUACCUGGAUAAAACAGUGGAUAAUAAAUUACAGCUAAAUCAGACAGUAAAUGGACUCUACACUUUAGGACAGGAAUUUCCAUCCUGGAUCAUGUAUCAGGCAAGCAUGUACCUUACAUUUCAGGAUAUUUUCUGCAACAGUGUACAGGAAGAGACUUAUGGGAUGCGGUUGUUUAUAUUGGCAAAUUCAUUACAAGGAAGUUGCAGCUAAAUGUGUUUUGCCUCUGAUUCCUGUGGUUAUCAGGUAAUUCUCCUACAACGCACAGAAAAGACGCUGCUUCUCAAUGUUCCAGUUCCCAGAAAUAAGGUUUACAAAGAAAAAUACCCAUACCAAGUUUUAGACCAUAUUCUUAAGUUUGCAAUGAAUAUUUCAACAAAAGGUGGUAAAGCCUGACAACUUGUAUCGCGUCUUUUGGGCAGGGGAGACCGGCUGGUACAUGCUCGUUCCUGACAGGUAUUUGCUCAUGUCAAGGCUCUUAGACGAAGUGCAGUGAGGCUUGCAAAAUGCAGACUCUUGAUUUUUUGCACUAGCUUCAAAUCACACGCUGCAUUUUAAACCUGCCUGCCAAGGGCCUGUUGAGGUAUUAAACAGGAGGGACACCAAACCUGCCCCAACGUUGGGGUUUCUCUCCUUGGAAGAACUGACGACACGACAAAACAACGUUUCUUGGUAUCUUCUCUCACCUGGUAACAUUGGCUAACUUCCUGCUGCAUCCAGAAAUCAAAAUACUAAACAAGUAGGUGAGAAAAGUAGGUGAGAAAAUGCAGGGAAAGCGGAGCAAACAAUAAAGCUCAAGAUGCUGGUGGGAAGAGU